rnacentral:rRNA from 1 species
UAGGGAAUAUUGGACAAUGGGGGCAACCCUGAUCCAGCCAUGCCGCGUGAGUGAAGAAGGCCCUCGGGUUGUAAAGCUCUUUUGUCCGGAAAGAAAAGCAUUCGGUGAAUACCCGGAUGUUCUGACGGUACCGGAAGAAUAAGCACCGGCUAACUUCGUGCCAGCAGCCGCGGUAAUACGAAGGGUGCAAGCGUUACUCGGAAUUACUGGGCGUAAAGCGUGCGUAGGUGGUUGUUUAAGUCUGAUGUGAAAGCCCUGGGCUCAACCUGGGAAUGGCGUUGGAAACUGGGAAGCUAGAGUGCGGUAGGGGGUAGUGGAAUUCCCGGUGUAGCAGUGAAAUGCGUAGAGAUCGGGAGGAACAUCUGUGGCGAAGGCGACUGCCUGGACCAGCACUGACACUGAGGCACGAAAGCGUGGGGAG